AUUGAACGCUGGCGGCAUGCUUUACACAUGCAAGUCGAACGGUAACAGGCCUUCGGGUGCUGACGAGUGGCGCACGGGUGUGUAAUGCAUCGGAACGUACCCAGAGGUGGGGGAUAACGCAGCGAAAGCUGUGCUAAUACCGCAUGUGAUCUGAGGAUGAACGCGGGGGACCGAGCAGCAAUGUUUGGCCUCGCGCCUUUGGAGCGGCCGAUGUCGGAUUAGCUAGUUGGUGGGGUAAAGGCCUACCAAGGCGACGAUCCGUAGCCGGUCUGAGAGGACGACCAGCCAGACGGGGAGUGAGACACAGCCCAGACUCCUACGGGAGGCAGCAGUGGGGAAUUUUGGACGAUGCGGGCAAGCCUGAUACAGCAAUGCCGCGUGCGGGAAGAAGGAGUUCGGGUUGUAGACCGCUUUUGGCAGGAACGAAACGGUGUCCGCUAAUACCGGGCGAUAAUGACGGUACCUGCAGAAUAAGCACCGGCUAACUACGUG
rnacentral:rRNA from 1 species